ensembl:lncRNA
UUGAAACAGUUAAGUAUUUUUCAAAGCAACUAAAAAAUAAAAAAAAGUUAUCUAAUAUAUUUAACUCAUUUGUGUUAAAAAGCCUUUAUUUUUGUCAUUGUUAACAACAUUUUGCUGGAUUGAAAGAUUGCAUACUUAUUGUUCUGUGUUUCAUACUUAAUGUAAAGAAAUCUACCAUAAUUCUUUUUUCUCCUUGGUGUGUAACACAACUUUUCUCUCUGGGUGCCUUCAAGAUUUACUCCUUUAUUUUUUUGGUGAGGAAGAUUUGCCCUGAGCUAACAUCUGUGCCAAUCUUCCUCUAUUUCAUAUGAAGGUCACAGCCACAGUAUGGCUGCCACCAAGUAGUGGAGAUCUGCACCCAGGGACAAAACCUGGGCCACUGAAGUGGAGCACACCAAACUUAACUGCUAGGCCAUGGAGCUGACCCUAAAAUUUACUCUUUAUCUUUGAUUUUCAGCAGUUGAAUAUGAUGGGCCCAGGCACAUUGAUUGCUGUUUAUCCCACUUGGAGUUCUCUGAGCUUCUUGAGUUGUGGUUUGAUUAUCUCAUGGUCUUUCAUUAUUUUUGGUAUAUUUUCAGCCAUUAUCUCUCUAAUAUUUCUUGUUUUUUGUUUUUUUUUUUUAAAGAUUUUAUUUUUUUCCUUUUUCUCCCCAAAGCCCCCUGGUACAUAGUUGUAUAUUCUUCACUAUGGUAUGUGGGACGCUGCCCCAGCGUGGUGUGACGAGCAGUGCCAUGUCUGCGCCCAGGACUCGAAACACUGGGCCACCUGCAGCUGAGCACACGAACCCAACCACUCUGCCAUGGGGCCAGCCCCACUCUCUAAUAUUUCUUUUAUCCUAUUUUUUCUCCUUCUUCUUGAGAACUUCCUGUAUACUAGACUAUUUGAUAUCGUUUCUAGCCCUUGGACGUCCUGUUCUGGGUUUCAUUUUUCCUUUUUGUAUUUCAGUUUGCAUAAUUUCUAUUGCCCUAUCUUCAGAUUUAUUAGUUCUUUCUUCAGCUGUGUGAAUCUACUGAUGAGACCUUCAAAAGCAUUCUUCUUUUCUAUUAUCUAUUGCCUGUUAUGCAUUUUUUUUUAUUUCAAGCAUUACCAUUUGACGCUUUCUUAUAGUUUCUUUGUCUCUGUUGACAUUGUGCUUCUCUGUUGUUUAUUUGUGUUGUCCACCUUUUUUACUAGAGUCUUUAUCAUAUUAAUCAGAUUUAUUGUAAUCCCUUGUAGGAUAGUUCCAAGAACUGCUUCAUCUGUGAGUCUGACUUUGUUAAUCACUUUGUCUCUUAAUAGUGACUUUUUCCCUUACUUUUUGAUGUGUCUUCUAAUUUUUGAUUGCUUGUCAGCAUAGUAUGUAGAAUAUUAAACAUUUAGAUAAUAGUUUUGCCUGGAAAUGUGCAUACUUCUUAUUCUGAUAGACUGUCAGCAUGGGGAGUUAUCCUCGUCAACAGAGGAACUGGAUUUGGGUUUUGUUGUUGCUCUGGUUACAUUUAGUGCACCAUCAGCUUCCAAUUCCUCUGGUGUGAUUUUUGCUUAAUGAAGAGAUUGGUUUUCCAGAAGGUUUAUCUUGAUCUUCAUGCUACACCUUUGUAUUUAGGAUCCCCCACGUGCCUGUGCUCUUGCUAUGCCCUUGCUCAUCCCUCACCAGGAGACAGCUGUUGCUUGUUACUUGGUGUUUGGGGUUAAAGGGGACACAGUUUUCUCCUCCUGACUCAGCUGUUUAUGUGGGCCUCAGGGUGGGGCUUUCUCAGCAAUCUUGCCCCUCUCUCAGAGGUAGAAUUAUUUUUUCUUUUACAUUCCCCCAACCACAGUCUGUUGUCACCUUUGCGCUGCAAAAGACAGAAUUUUCUGCCCUUCCCGUAGUGUCUUAAAGCUUUUUUCCCUUAGAGGCAAAAGGACCACAUAGGACUCCAUGCCUUUCCGGCCUUCCUUCCUCCAGGACUGCAUCACAGAGAGAGACUUUGUGUAGUCUGCUGUCUUGCUCCAAUCUUUCUCAAGAGCAGCAGUAUCACUGGUAUCCUUAUAAAACGGGAAAUUCGGACACAGAGACAGACAUACACGGAGGGGAGACAAUGUGAAGAGACAUGCACACACACAGGACAAGAUGGACAUCUACAAGCAAGGAGAGAGGCCUGGAGCACAUCUUUCCCUCAAGCCCUCAGAAGGAGUCAACCCUGCUGGCACCUUGAUUUCAGACUUCUAGCCUCCAGAACUGUGAGACAAUAAAUUUCUGUUGUUACAGCCACCCAAUCUGUAAUAUUUUGUUAUGAAAGCCUUAGCAAACUAAUACAGAUGCCUAGCCUAAAUUUCAAAAGAAACCAUCUGCUUCAGUAUGGUUUUGAAUAACGCAGGCCCUGGUGGAACUGAGCCUACAGAGAAACAGCAUCUCACCUUUAAAAGGUCAUCUUAUUUUUAGAUAUCGUGUAUUAUAAAGAAAUCAUUUACCUGCCAAAUUUUCUUAUUCUGAGGCAUUCUCUACAUUAUUUAAGCACACGAUUAUUUUGAUGAUUAAUGAUUCUUCAUCAGAAUCAGUGUUCACUUUACUCUUGUUUGUGAUGUGAUAUUCAGCAUCUUCCAUUAUUCUGGUUUAUUUUUAUCAGGUUUUUGCUCUUCACGGAAGUUAUCAGCAUUCAACUUAUGUUUGUUUCCUCUUCACGUGGUUAUGAACUUCAUGAGAACAAGCUGCUCCAGCAAAUAAUUGAAUAAAACCAUGGUUGGGAUUUUUCCAGAAGAGUGUGAUGGAGAGAGAAAGGAAUGAGUCAAGAAAGGUGAGUGAUUCCAGUGAUGGACAAUUAUUACUAAAACAUGGCUUCAGGAGGUCACGGAUUUUACCUUGGAUAUUCACUGAUGGGCUGUUUCAGACACAUAUUAGGUACUCCUUACAUACUUGUUGAAUUACUAAGUGAAUAGAAUCUAAACCUAAGAAGUGGG